GUUCAGAGUUUUACAGUCCGAAGAGAUAAAAUACGAUUUUGGGGCUGUAAUGAAGAUGGCUUUGGGGGACGAGUGUGUGUGAAGGGAGCCUGAGGGAGGAAGGUGAAGGGGGAAAAUGCUGAACCCUGACAGGUCACUGGGCUGUGCUGAACGGUCUGACAGCACCUUCUCACCAGCUACAGCGACAGCCAGGCUGUCCAUCACCUGCAGAGUCAGAGCAUUCG